AUUGAACGCUGGCGGCAGGCCUAACACAUGCAAGUCGAACGGUAACAGGAAGCAGCUUGCUGCUUUGCUGACGAGUGGCGGACGGGUGAGUAAUGUCUGGGAAACUGCCUGAUGGAGGGGGAUAACUACUGGAAACGGUAGCUAAUACCGCAUAACGUCGCAAGACCAAAGAGGGGGACCUUAGGGCCUCUUGCCAUCGGAUGUGCCCAGAUGGGAUUAGCUAGUAGGUGGGGUAACGGCUCACCUAGGCGACGAUCCCUAGCUGGUCUGAGAGGAUGACAGCCCACCUGGGAAGGGGUACCGGGUCAAGACGCCUAGGGGAGGCGCCAGAGGGGAAUGGGGAAAAGGGGGCGGGAUCCUGAUACACCGGGCGCGGGUGUAAGAGAAAGCCGUCGGGUUGGGAAUGUAGUUUCUCGGGGGGGAAAGGGAUUAAGGUAAAUACCUUGCCCCAUUGACGUUACCCGAAGAAGAAGCACCGGCUAACUCCGUG
rnacentral:rRNA from 1 species